AUUCGGACUGAUAACUGGAUGAACGUUUCAAUGAAUCCACGACGUUUGUCUUUUAAGUGUCCGAUAUAUUAGGAUUGUGUUUACCACAUGGCGGAGGCCUUACAAGUUUCCGAAACUGCAUUCUUGUUUUCUGUGUUUGGUUAACUUUUAAGUCUUCGCGACAUUC
rfam:Aspergillus cristatus strain GZAAS20.1005 Scaffold_Scf_12, whole genome shotgun sequence.